AUGGAGGCUGUCCGUAUCUACUGGAGAUCGGGGGCUGGCUUCAUUGAAGUAGCAACAUUAAGCCCCAUCGGUCCACCUUGCGCACUGGAGGGCAGCUUUGAAAUUCCUGAGGAUGACAUAGAGCACGUCGGCGGCGAGGGAUUGUACCUCGCGCUUGUCCAAGGUGGACACGUCAGCGACCUUGCGCGCAUGAUAUUUUGUAGUGGUGAUUCAAGGAACGAUGAUGGGGAAGAGGACUACUAUUCCCCCGAUCUGUUGACUUGCCGAGGGUCUUCAUCCCAUUCAAGUGGUGGCGUGAAUGAGUCGGAGAAACACACGUUUGGGCUGAUGGGGUGGGAGGAGGGUAGAUGGGAGGAUAAGAUAACGUUCAGCGAGGAGGAGGAGGAGGAGGAGGAGAAUGAUGAUGAUGAUACAACAUCCAGUGAGAAGGGGUUGAUUUUUUGGAAGCAAGGUUAUGAUGAAUUCGGAAGUGAGGAUGAUGAGGUUGUGGGAAAGGGCACAGGGAGCGAGGAGGAGCACAAGUUGGAGGAGAGACACCAGGAGGAGGGGCGUGAAGAGAGCCACCAGGAGGAGAAUGAUGAUAAUGAUACGACAUCCAGCGAGGGGAAGGGGUUGAUUUUUUGGCAGGAAGGUCAUGAUGAAUUCAGAAGUGAGGAUGAUGAGGAUGUGGAAAAGGGCACAGGGAGCGAGGAGGAGCACAAGUCGGAGCAGAGCCACCAGGAGGAGGGUCCUGAGGAAGAGGAUUUCCAAACUGUACAAAUGAAGCUUAGAUUGUGGCCAUCGAGGAAACAUGCUCUUGUUAAAAUAUUCCGUGGCAAAAAAUGGAUUAUUACAAAGGAUUACUGCCUUGCUUGGCUCAGGCCUGAAGAAAUGGAUGAAUUUGAUUUCAGAUUAGACUUCGACGAGUCACAGAUCUUGAGGGAAUCUGACUUCAUGAUGGAUUUUGAAAUUCUUAUGGCUCCUUCACAUGUUCUUAAUGACGUCGUUGCAAUGAUCAAGCCAUCCAUCUGCAACUUUACAAUUCUUAAAAAAGUUGGUGGUGCAAAUGACUGCAAGGUUUUGAAAUGCUCGUGGCUAGGUAUUAACUGUGCUAUUAAAGCAGUCGCUGUAAAAAUAUCUUGCACCACAGAGCCACGAGAAAUUGAUAUCAUAUCAAGUUUAAAGGAUAAACGCGUCAUGACUUUUUUUCAGACACUAAAGCAUGCAUUGCUGUAUGAACACCGUGACUGGUUUCCAAACCGGUGGUUCCUUUUGGAAGAAAUACUGCAAGCAAUUAAGAAAAUUCAUGCAGAAUUGAUUGUGCAUCGUGACCUGAAGCCUGACAACAUAUUCUUUGGUUCUGACAAUGGAAUUCGCAUCGGUGAUUUUGGAGAUGCAUGCAUAGGUCAUGAUGAGUUAGGCCUGUACGGUGGUACGCCUGGGCUUGGAACCGAGCAUUACCUUGCUCCAGAGCUUAACAGUGAUGGGAAAAUAACCGAAAAGGUUGAUAUUUAUUCGGCCGGCAUCAUCAUGUUUGAGCUCUUUGCUCUGAUUAAAACCGGCUCUGAGAAGAUUAUGGUACUUCCCGAGCUCAGAGAGAAAGGCCCUCCAGAUAGCUGGGAAGGCGAUCAUGAGUUGUAUGCCCAGAUGACUGCUUUGGAAUCCUCUCAACGCCCAUCAGCUGCUGAAAUAUUGGAGUACAUAGAUAAACAUCAUCGCCUCACCGUGUAA
rnacentral:rRNA from 1 species